rnacentral:rRNA from 1 species
GCCCAAGAGAUCGGGAUAACACCUGGAAACAAGAUGCUAAUACCGGAUAACAACAGAUGAUGCCUAUCAACUGUUUAAAAGAUGGUUCUGCUAUCACUCUUGGAUGGACCUGCGGUGCAUUAGCUAGUUGGUAGGGUAACGGCCUACCAAGGCGAUGAUGCAUAGCCGAGUUGAGAGACUGAUCGGCCACAUUGGGACUGAGACACGGCCCAAACUCCUACGGGAGGCAGCAGCC